UCCAGGGUAGCCUAGUGGAUAUUACAUCUGCCCGGUAAGCGGAAAUUUUGGGUUCGAUUCCCAUCCCUGGAC
rnacentral:tRNA from 1 species